GACGAACGCUGGCGGCGUGCUUAACACAUGCAAGUCGAACGGUGAAGGAGAGCUUGCUCUCCGGAUCAGUGGCGAACGGGUGAGUAACACGUGGGCAACCUGCCCCAGACUUCGGGAUAACGCCUCGAAAGAGGUGCUAAUACCGGAUACGAGGCGUGGGGGCAUCCCCAACGCCUGGAAAGAACUUCGGUCCAGGAUGAGCUCGCGGCCUAUCAGGUAGUUGGUGAGGUAACGGCUCACCAAGCCUACGACGGGUAGCCGGCCUGAGAGGGGGACCGGCCACACUGGGACUGAGACACGGCCCAGACUCCUACGGGAGGCAGCAGUGGGGAAUAUUGCACAAUGGGCGCAAGCUUGAUGCAGCAACGCCGCGUGAGGGACGACGGCCUUCGGGUUGUAAACCUCUUUUAGCAGGGAAGAAGCGAAAGUGACGGUACCUGCAGAAAAAGCACCGGCUAACUACGUGCCAGCCGCCGCGGUAAGAC
rnacentral:rRNA from 1 species